rnacentral:rRNA from 1 species
UAUCAAUAAGCGGAGGAAAAGAAACCAACAGGGAUUGCCUCAGUAACUGCGAGUGAAGCGGCAAAAGCUCAAAUUUGAAAUCUGGCGCCUUCGGCGUCCGAGUUGUAAUUUGGAGGGAUAUCUUCGGAGAUGGCUCCGUCCUAAGUUCCUUGGAACAGGACGUCACAGAGGGUGAGAAUCCCGUGCCUGGGUGGAUGCCCAUCUCCAUGUGAAGUGUCUCCGACGAGUCGAGUUGUUUGGGAAUGCAGCUCAAAAUGGGUGGUAAAUUUCAUCUAAAGCUAAAUAUUGGCGAGAGACCGAUAGCGCACAAGUAGAGUGAUCGAAAGAUGAAAAGCACUUUGAAAAGAGAGUUAAAAAGUACGUGAAAUUGUUGAAAGGGAAGCGCUUGAGACCAGACUCAAUCUUUGGUGAUCAGCUGUGCUUCUGUGCAGUGCACUUGCCAUGGAUUGGGCCAGCAUCGGUUCUGACGGUGGGAUAAAAGGUUGAGGAAUGUGGCUUCCUUCGGGGAGUGUUAUAGCCUCGAUCACAAUGCCACCAGUUGGGACCGAGGACCGCGCUUCGGCUAGGAUGCUGGCGUAAUGGUCUUAAGCGACCCGUCUUGAAACACGGACCAAGGAGUCUAACAUCUAUGCGAGUGUUCGGGUGGAAAACCCUUGCGCGUAAUGAAAGUGAACGGAGGUGGGAACCUUUCGGGGUGCACCAUCGACCGAUCCUGAUGUCUUCGGAUGGAUUUGAGUAAGAGCAUAGCUGUUGGGACCCGAAAGAUGGUGAACUAUGCCUGAAUAGGGUGAAGCCAGAGGAAACUCUGGUGGAGGCUCGCAGCGGUUCUGACGUGCAAAUCGAUCGUC